rnacentral:rRNA from 1 species
CCUACGGGUGGCAGCAGUGAGGAAUAUUGGUCAAUGGGCGCGAGCCUGAACCAGCCAAGUAGCGUGAAGGAAGACGGCCCUAUGGAUUGUAAACCUCUUUUAUCUGGGAGCAAAAGAGGGUACGCAUACCGUUCCGAGAGUACCCGAAGAAAAAGCAUCGGCUAACUCCGUGCCAGCAGCCGCGGUAAUACGGAGGGUGCAAGCGUUACUCGGAAUCACUGGGCGUAAAGAGCGCGUAGGCGGGAUAGCAAGUCAGAUGUGAAAGCCUAGGGCUUAACCAUAGAAAUGCAGUUGAAACUGGUAGUCUAGAGUAUGGGAGAGGUAGGUGGAAUGCUUGGUGUAGGGGUGAAAUCCGUAGAGAUCAAGAGGAAUACUCAUUGCGAAGGCGACCUGCUAGAACAUAACUGACGCUGAUGCGCGAAAGCGUGGGGAGCAAACAGGAUUAGAUACCCUUGUAGUC